rnacentral:rRNA from 1 species
AGUGAACGCUGGCGGUAGGCCUAACACAUGCAAGUCGAACGGCAGCACAGUAAGAGCUUGCUCUUACGGGUGGCGAGUGGCGGACGGGUGAGGAAUACAUCGGAAUCUACUUUUUCGUGGGGGAUAACGUAGGGAAACUUACGCUAAUACCGCAUACGACCUACGGGUGAAAGCAGGGGAUCUUCGGACCUUGCGCGAUUGAAUGAGCCGAUGUCGGAUUAGCUAGUUGGCGGGGUAAAGGCCCACCAAGGCUACGAUCCGUAGCUGGUCUGAGAGGAUGAUCAGCCACACUGGAACUGAGACACGGUCCAGACUCCUACGGGAGGCAGCAGUGGGGAAUAUUGGACAAUGGGCGCAAGCCUGAUCCAGCCAUACCGCGUGGGUGAAGAAGGCCUUCGGGUUGUAAAGCCCUUUUGUUGGGAAAGAAAAGCAGCAGGUUAAUACCCCGCUGUUCUGACGGUACCCAAAGAAUAAGCACCGGCUAACUUCGUG